rnacentral:rRNA from 1 species
UACGUAGGGCGCAAGCGUUGUCCGGAAUUAUUGGGCGUAAAGAGCUCGUAGGCGGUCUGUCGCGUCUGUUGUGAAAACUCGAGGCUCAACCUCGGGCUUGCAGUGGAUACGGGCAGACUAGAGUGCGGUAGGGGAGACUGGAAUUCCUGGUGUAGCGGUGAAAUGCGCAGAUAUCAGGAGGAACACCGGUGGCGAAGGCGGGUCUCUGGGCCGAUACUGACGCUGAGGAGCGAAAGCGUGGGGAGCGAACAGG